rnacentral:rRNA from 1 species
UACGUAGGUGGCAAGCGUUGUCCGGAAUUAUUGGGCGUAAAGCGCGCGCAGGCGGUCCUUUAAGUCCGAUGUGAAAGCCCACGGCUCAACCGUGGAGGGUCAUUGGAAACUGGGGGUCUUGAGUGCAGGAGAGAAGAGUGGAAUUCCACGUGUAGCGGUGAAAUGCGUAGAGAUGUGGAGGAACACCAGUGGCGAAGGCGGCUCACUGGCCCGGUACUGACGCUGAGGCGCGAAAGCGUGGGGAGCAAACAGG